rnacentral:rRNA from 1 species
UACGGGGGGGGCAAGCGUUGUUCGGAAUUACUGGGAGUAAAGGGCGCGUAGGCGGGUGGACAAGUCUCUCGUGAAAGCCCACGGCUCAACCGUGGAAUUGCGGGAGAUACUGUCUGUCUUGAGUCCGGGAGAGGAGGGUGGAAUUCCCAGUGUAGCGGUGAAAGGCGUAGACAUUGGGAGGAACACCGGUGGCGAAGGCGGCCCUCUGGACCGGUACUGACGCUGAGGCGCGAAAGCUAGGGGAGCAAACGGG